rnacentral:lncRNA from 1 species
UGUAAAGCUAAACUCAAGAAUAUGCUUAUGUGAGAACCUCUGGCAUUAUGUAUGUUAAGUGUAAGUGCAUAGGUAUAUUAAAGUUGGACUGAUGUGACGCCCCCAAAACAGGUAUACAUCACCCAUCUUGAGUCGCCAAAAACAUGGUACAAAAUUUAAAUACAACUUAAUAAUACAAUUGUCGUGUAAAAUACGACAAAACAUAAACUGAGAGUUUUAAUACGAAUAUUUUCUUCUAGACAGUAUUCAACUCAAAUGGAGUCCUUAAUACAUUUAUUAUCACACUAUUUCAUAGAAUAGUGAGGACUACUAAUGCUAUCAUCCGGACCGUCACUCCGUUCCCCGACUAGUCCCGGCUACGUUCUCAUUUCCUGAAGAGGACAAUGAAAGUAAAAGGGUGAGCUCAACUAGCCCUGUAAGAAAUAUUAUGACUAAGAUAAUGCAGAAUAAUUUAUCGUUAGCCUUCAACAGUGUUAAACUGAUAAAAUAUAAUAAACAUCAAGUUUAACUACAGCGGAACAAGCAAUCCAUUAGAAGAGUCAAGUAGAGCAUAAAAUUUACUAUCUUCUAUGAUUUAAAAGGUUUUUCAUCACUUUUAUCGCUUAGACUCAGCUUAAUAAAUAAUUCCCAUCAUCGAACACCCCUGCACUACGGCCAAGGAUAUUUUUUAGUAUCACAACCACAAAUUAUCCAUACACUACGGGCCAAGGAUAUUCGUGUAUUCAUCAAUGGUCAUGAUCAUGCCAACAACUGUCCAUCAAUGCACUACAGGUCAAUGAGGACUUUUACCACAUCAUUUAUAACAUUACGGUCAUGAUUAUACCGAAUAAUCCCUGGUCAUAAUCAUACCAAGUCCAUCUAUGCACUACAGGCCACAGAUGACUUUCAGCAUAAUAUAAACAUGAGGAUGAUGACAAUGAUAUAAAAAUUCAAUAAAACAAGUUCAAGGAUAAAUUUUUAAAGAUUUAUAAUUUAAUUUAUCCAAAAAUCAAUAACGUUCAAAUUAUCAACAUGAUACUGCUUUGUGGAGUAAAAUUCAAGAAUAAUAUUGUACCAAAAAUAAUUUGGACCAAAAACGAAUCAAUUUUUAUCAGGAAUAGUACCCCUGGUGAAUAGUACUCGAGUGAAUAGUACCCCGUGAAUAGUACUUUAGGAAUAGUAACCCUGUGAAUAGUACUCCGACAUAAAAAAGUUAAAACUUAUCAAGAAUGCUCAGAAUAAUAUUUUCAUGAAAAGAUAUUGGAUGAAGCGCAAAUAUCAAGGAUAUUCUACUAAUUUCAUGGAGUAUAGAAGCCAAAAUUUUAACAAAAUGAGCAUAGAAUUUGAAAUCUGAAACGAAAUAAUAUUACUUGCAUACUACAGAGUAUGGAAGAAAAUAUUAUUUCAAGUGAAUAUUGAACAAAAAUAAUAUCUCUUACCUUGAAAAGAAGAGUAUUCUAACUGGUAUAGCUAGCGAGGAUAUUCUUUAUGAAAACUUUCACUGUUUUCUACGCUCAAAACUUUCUAAAACUCUAAAGAAAUACGCUCAAUAUUAUAGAAGAAGAAUUCUCUGAUUCUGGUGUAAUUUUCAAUUCUAACUUAAGCGCAUAUUUAUAGAAAAAUCCUAGAACGCCAUAGGAGACUAAAAUAAUAUUAUAAUUUUUCUACGCAUGCAUGCUUUGAGCAAAACUCAGCCACCACAGUGGGGCCCAUCCAAAAUUAGCACAUGUUUUCUACACCAACCAAAAGUGGGUCCCACCUAAUUUUAAUAAAAAUUAUUUUAUUUUCCGAAAGUUCAAUAAUUCAUAAUAAAUAGCUUUUUUAUCAGACAAAUACGAAUUUUAUGUCCAUUCCACACGAAAUCAAAUUCUCUACAACUUUGUAGCUUUAAGUUUUUCCAAAUUUCAAAUAGAAAAUAUCUGAAAUCCGCAAAUGGAUGAUUUUCAACACCUCUUAAAAUUCAUAACAAAUCAUACGCUAAUUUUUAACGGUUCAAAAUUUAUGGACAUAUACUUAACUUAUAUAUGUAUAACAUAUCCAAAAAUAACAACGAUCCAAUGGUCAGAUCAAAAUUAUAACUCAUGCAAUAGAGCUUAAGAACACCGAUUUGAUUUUGUAAAUACCUUUAAUCCGAUAAAAUACUCAUAAAAUACCUCAACAUUAAUUCCUUCAUUUAUAAUCACAUAAAAUAAAUAUUUUCCUAUCCAUCAUUUAUGUCCACAUAAAAUAAAUAUUUUCUUAUCAUAUAAAUUAAUAAUUAAUUAUUCACAAAUAAUAUUACAGAAUCACAAUUAUGACAACCAGGCCGUUCCCAGGAAAGAGGGGGCUUUCCGAUAAGGAUUUCUCCUUACUGGCGCGCAAUUAGGUGACCAAACCUCUCCUUGACAGAACUUUCUAGACAUUGCCAAUAAUGCUAUCUAAUAAUAUUAUUCAAAUAAUAUGAAUUAUUGAUCUGAUAAUGGAAAAUACUGUGCAGUGACAAUUAUUGAAACAACAAUAAUAUAAAAUAUCAACGCAACAAUUAUUGAAUUAAUAAAAUAAAAUAUUGAACAGUAAUUACUGUAACAAUUAUUGAGUAGUGCCUUCUUACGUAAGAAACAAUAAUUCAAAAAUACUGUGCAAUACCGUGAGCUACUGUGCAACAACGCGUAUUAUUGUAUUUUAACCACCAGGUAUUCCAAUAGUGUUAAUGGUAACAACUACGCCGUUAUUUAUAAAACUCAAACUUGUCAUUUUCUUCAUCCGACAGUUAUUCUGUUAUGGGGCCCACAAAUGGCUGCGCCGUCGUAUGAAUAUUCCCCGACAACAAGAAUAUUCCACGACCAAACGAGUAUUUUAUAACAACUUACUUUACUUUGCAAAAUUUUCACAUAUCACCCUUAACUUUAAUCCUUUUGUCAAUUUAACCAUUUACUAAAUGAAAUAAUAAUUAUAAGAAAAUUGAAUACUUUCAUUUCAUAAAAUUCGGGGUCUUACAACUGAAAUCAGGAGAGCAGAAGCUCAACUCUGGCCAGGCUAGAGGACAGCACAGCUGCGCUGUCCCUAAGCCUUGUCAGGGCGCAGCUGCGCCAUCCUGCAGUUGGUUCUGGAUUCUGUUUGUAAUCUGAUGUUCAAAGCAUGCUUAUAUGGUUACUUUAACUUGAGUUAUGUGACUAGUAUACUAUCCAAUGUGGUAAGAAGCAUGCUAGGUAAUAGAAUCGAAUAAGUUAAUGAGAAAUUAUAACUUUUAAAUGUGAAAUUCAAAAAGGUAUUUGUAAACUGGAAAACAAUGAUUUGAAAAUUGGUCGUUUGAUUUUGUGGUGUCAUACAAACUGAUUUUGUGCUAUGAGGAUGUAGGAUAUGUGAUGUAGUAUGUAUAGAGUAUACAACUAAAUUAGAUGUUUAUGUGUGUGUUUGAACUUACAUAUGUGAGCUUAUGUAACUAUUGAAUAUCCUAUACGCGUAACUAUAUUGUGUUCGGAUUCGAAAAGGGUGUUGAUAAGCUAUAUUUUGGUAAACUACGCUUGAGGCAAGUACUCGAACCUUACUCUUUAUUGAGCAUUACUUGAACUUGUGUUAUUAUUGAUCGUACAAGUAGAACUUUGAAAGUUUAAUACUUCGUAAUCUAGAAAUGAAAUAGUUUACAAAUAUUGAUUCAAACGAGAAUUGUUCAUAUAUAUAUAUAUUGUGAAAGAAAACUGUCUAAGCCAUUGCUUCGGCUAGACUAUUGAUAUUUGAUCGAAAAUUAUCCAAACCAAAUUAACUUGGUGCGGACUCUUAUAAUUAAGAUGAACAACCCUCUUGGUAGGGGAAUUAUAUAUUGUUGGGGAACCGAUGUACGCACAUGAGAAAGACUAAAUAUUAUGUAUGCCAUAGGGUACUUUAGGCUGAUCAUCUGUUGUACUCAUUUUGUAGAAUUAUCAGGAAUAUCACUGUUAAUUCUAGGAGAAGUUCAUAGUCCUUAGUGACUGCUCAGUAUUCAUUACUUUGAAAUCUUGAAAUUGAUUAACCGUUGAAUAUUAUUGAUAUUUUCUGUCCAUAGCGAUAAUUGUUGAUAAUCAUUGAUACUUUUUGCUAUCUUGAACUAUCAUUAUUGAUAUACCCUUGAGGAAUUUAAAACUAUAUUGAUUACCCUUUGCUAUAUUAUUUGUUAGGCAAAAUUGUUGCUCAUCCUUUUUUUCCUUAAAACUUUCAGCUAAGGCAGAACAUGGUGAACCCUCUAGCAAGGACAAUGGUAAAGAGAAGGCUUUGGAAUAGUUAGUUCAAUAAUGUUAGAAAUGUAUUAUUAUUUGGUUGUAAAAUAACUUAUUUAUAUUAAGCUAUGUUUAGUUUAAGUUGUAUUGUAUUAGUCACAGUUGCGAGACUUUAGGACAAGAAUAAUUAUGUUAUAUCAAUGUAAUUUAUUCUAUUAUUUUAUUGUAUAAUGAUUUUAGUAUGUUAUUAGAGUUCGUAUGUGACAAUCAAAUUUGAGACAAGUGUGGUCUGAAUUUGGGAGCGUCACACAGGCUAUAUAUAUAUAUAUAUAUAUAUAUAUGGCAAAAAUGUGCAUACAUAGAUGUGUAUUACAUAAUAGGUUAUGAUGACGGUUUUUUAGGUUAUAGCGACGGUUUCACCCGUCGUUAUAUCUAUUUUGGGCUACGGCGACAGUUUACCGUCGCUAUAGCCCAAAAAAUUUGGCGCUAUAAUUCUAUUGUAUAAUACACAACUGUGUAUAUAUAUAUAGCCCUAUAUAUAUAUAUAUGUGUGUGUGUGUGGGGGGGAAUGAUCCAUAGCAUCUAUUUGCUAUGGAACAAAAAAUGGCAUAUACUAUCUAUACCUUCCAUUAAAAAAAUUGAGGGACUGUGAUAGCAAAGAAUAUCACGCCGUCCGCUAGAAGUUCUAGCGGAUGUGAUUAAUAAAAAAUUUGGCCAAAUUUAUCACCACUCAAAGCCUUAUAAAUUUAAGUAUACAUGCUCCGCUAGAAGUACCAGCGGAUGAAAUAUCUCAAACAGGGAAUAACAAAAAAACCCAGUCACCGGAACCUUUUCGACUUCUUAGUGAAACAAUAAUCUCAUCUAUACUAUAUUAUGAAACAGAAGACGAUCCUAUCUCAACUAUUGGGAGUGUCGGUAUUGAACCUUCUGAUUUAGCUUCAGAGGAUGGCUGAUUUCCUAUAUUAAUAAUCCUCAUAAUAUCCUCCACCAUUUUCACUACCUCUGACAUUUUGGGUCUCUGCUCCGGCACUCUUUGUCCUUGCUCCUCAGUUCUAU